UACAGGGGGUGCAAACGUUGCUCGGAAUCAUUGGGCGUAAAGCGCACGUAGGCGGUCUGUUAUGUCGGAUGUGAAAGCCCUUGGCUCAACUGAGGAAGUGCAUCCGAAACUGGCAGGCUAGAGUACGAAAGAGGAUCGCGGAAUUCCCGGUGUAGAGGUGAAAUUCGGUAGAUAGUCGGGAGGAACACCAGUGGGCGAAGGCGGCGUUCUGGGAA
rnacentral:rRNA from 1 species